ensembl:lincRNA
GUACAUUUGUAUGAUUUCUGAACACAUAAUAAUCUCUCUAAGGACAAACCAUUACGUGUCAAGGAUCGUGGUAACUAUAUGACUUGUAGUUUCUCACCUAUUUUCCAGCCUGGGCAAUUUAACAACUUAGCCAGUCCCUGUCUCAAAAUAUAGAAUAUAAAGGGGUGGGGUGCGGCUCCAUGGGGGGCGGAGAGGUAGGAGAAUGCUCGGGGCGGCGGCGGGGACGGGGUGGCGGGGAAUGGUGAUCUGUGGACCGGAUCGUAGCCCUGAGAAGACACCUCCAGUCCUCCCGGGGUGCAUUGACCCGACUCGCUCUGUCCUCGAGCUUCAGGAAGUCCGGCGCCGCGCAGUGCCUCCCGGGACUUGUAGUUCGCAGCGUGGCGCGCAGGCGCAGUGCCCACCGUCUCUGUGUAGCGAGAGGGCGAUGGACUCGGCGGAGACUAGGGUCCAGGGCUGUUUGCUAGGAAGCAGGCGGGAUCGGCGGGCGUGUUUGAUGGGAUAUCUGUGAUCACCUCAGACCUCGCCGAGGGACUGACCCCGGCCUCCUGCCUGCUCCUGGAGGACAGAAUUGGCUGCUGGGUUCCUGCUGGGCUGGUCCCAGGUGAGACCUUCUCCUGAGCAAUGGCCGUUAUAUCAGAGGAAGCGGAUCCACCAGAACCUGGGGCCUUGAAGAGAAGGGGCUGCCCGCUAGAUGAUGAAAGUCAAUUUAAAGCCAGCGAUUCAGUUUCUCAGUGGGAUAUUUAUGGAGAAAAAAUACCUAGGAAACCAGAAAUAGCAAAAUUCACCAAAAAUGAUUCUUGGGCCCCUGCUCCCAAGCAUGCAAGCCAGGGGAGAAAUCUAAGAAAUGAGACAGUGGAGAGAUUCUGUGGACGUAAUGGCCGAGGCACAGAAGCCUUCUGCCAGAUUCCAAAUCUUAAUCUACACAAGAAAAUCACUACUGGGUCAAAACAGCAUGGGAAAUUCAUGGAACAUUUGUGUCCCACGGGCCACAUCACCGCUCACACCGGACACAAGCCGCACCAGUGUCAGGAAUGUGGACAGGCCUGUAGCUGCCGUUCACAUUUGAGCGCACACGUGAGAGCCCAGAGUGGAGACAGACCUUACUACGCAUGUGAGUUAUGUGAGGAAACCUCCCCUCGGUCCUCCUCCGUGCAUCGUCGUGCGAGGACUCACACUGCAGAGCAAAACGACAGUCACCAGCACUGUGGGAAAGCCUUCACUGACUUCUCAAGUCUCCGGAGCCACCCGAGAAGUCAUACUGCAGAGAAGCCGUAUACACGCACAGAAUGCGGAAAGGCCUUCGGCUAGUCCUCAGCACGGUAACACACACUGGGGAGAAGCCACACAGGUGCCAAGUGUGGAGCAGCCUUCAGUUACCCCUCAGCAUUUAGAAGGCACCUGAUCACACACACCAGAGAGAAACCACAGGGUGUGAACAGUGUGGGAAAACCUUCAUGGGUCCUCAGUCCUUUCACAGGCAUGAGAGGAUCCAUACUGGAGAGAAACCCUAUUGAUGCAUCCAGCAUGGGAAAGCCUUGGGUUUGUCAGCUUGCUUCCAGGACCAAGUCAGAAGGCACCCUGAGGGCCAGUCCUGUCAGGGUAAGCUUUGUGGGAAAGCUUUUUAGUGCCAUAUAUCAUUACAAAAGCACAUGCAAAGACACGCUGCAGAGAAACUCCACAAAGGCAAGGAAUGUGGCAAAGCCUUCCGUGGGCCUGAGCUCGUACAGCAACACAUGAGAACCCGCACUGUCGAGAAGCCCUGUGAAUGUAAGGAAUGUGGGAAAGUCUUCACAUGGCCGUCAUCUCUACCGGUGCACACGAGACGGCACACUGGAGAGGAACCAUAUCAGUGUCAGCCAUGUGGGAAGGCCUACACUAAGAAUCGCUAAGUAGACACAAGAAGAUACACCCUGCAGAGAAGCAAUAUUCUUGUGAUGUGGGAACCCUCCUAAGAGUGAAUUCGUGUACAGUGUUCCAGAAAAUGCACCCCAGGACAGCAACCUUCUAAAAAUGGUAAAUAUGGCCUUGCCCUGAUGAGUACCUCAGCGUCACGGUGGACACAGGAGGAAUCUGAGGUUUGAUUUCCAAAUAAACGUUUAAGGAAAAAAAUAGUUCUCUGAGGCUAGAGAGGAUGGUACGCACCUGUAAUCCCAGUACUGAGAAGGAAGCAGAGAGGUCACGAUGGCAAGGCCAGUGUGGGCUGCAUAGUGAGUUUAACACAUCCCUUCCAACGUGCACCACUGGUGGUGGGCACGUGACUGUCCAUUGGGCAGCCUGUACCACCGAAUGGGACCGUGUCAUGUUGCCUGAUGGGACAGUCGUAUACUACUGGAGGUUAAGGACCACUUGGCAGCCGGAUGUAUACAUUAUGGCCCUGUAGUAAAUGUGUCAAGGCCAUCCUGGACUACAUACUGAGACCUAGCUCAAACAAAUAAUAAUAAACUCAAAAUACAUUUUUUCCUUACAAUUCAAUAAAUGACACUUUACAGCUUGUUGGGUGUGUGGAUGAUUUGAAGUGUUUGUUUUGUUUUGUUUGUUGUUGUAAUUGUUUUCGUUUGGGUUUGGUUUUUUUUGGUACCUGGGAUUGAACUCGGGUCCUUGCGCUUGCAAGGCAGGCCACCGAGUUGUUGUAAUUAUUUUGUUUUGAUUUUGAGACAGGGUCUCACUAUGUAGUUGAGACUGAUCUGGAAAUCACUAUGUAGCCCAAGUUGGUCUUCAACUCACAAGGAUCCUCCUGCCUCAACCUCCUGAGUGCUGGGAUUACAGGUGUGCGCCACCAGGCCCGGCUGUUUUGUACUGGGAUCAAACUCGGGAUCUCGCACUUGUGAGGCGGGAGCAGCACCACUGAGCUAAAUCCCUGACCUAGAAGUGUAUUUUUUUAGUAUAUAAGUGGAUUUAAUUUCUUUCUUUCUUUCUUUCUUUUUUUUUUUUUUUUUUUUUUUUUUUUUUUUUUUGGUACCAGGGAUCAAACUCAGGACCUUUCGCUUAUGAGGCAGGAGGUAGAACUAUUGAGCUAAAUCCCCAGCCCCUCUGUCUGUUUUUAAGACAGGGUCUUACUACAUAGUUCAGUCUGUCUUGAACUCACUAGUCCAGGCUGAUGCCAGACUUGUGGUGAUUCUCCUGCCUCAGCCUCCCUAGUGUUGAGAUUACAGAUGUGCAUCACCAAACCGAACAUGGAUGUUAUAGCAACCAAAUUUGGAAGAAUUCUUUCCCUUUAUGGUUUCAUGUUAGGAUUUACCAGUAGCGUAAAUUGCAUGAGACUUUGAAGGAAAAUGAAGAAGCUCAUAACUGAAUUUUAGGGACUCAGUAAACGGAGACAGACAAUGUAUAGCAGCCUGGGGGACACCAGCCUUUAGCUUAUUUCCUGGAUGUUGUGCCUGCGUCAUCAAAACAAAGACCAAGUGCUUGAUCUCCAUUUCGUUAGAGUGUAGGCCUCAUAGACAACCCCAUAAUCUUGUGUCGAGGGUGCACCGAGUGGUCUGGAACCCAGAAUUUGGAUUUUUCUAACAUCCUACAUGGGCCCCAGAACACAAACUCUAGUCUUCAUGGCUUGCAACCUCUCACGUACUGGUUCCCCGCUUUUCUAGAUCUUAAUACAGUGUUCUUAGAUGAGGCCUGAUUUAUAUUCUCUUACUACUUUUUUUUUUUUUUUUUGAGACAGGGUCUCGCUUUGUAGUUGAGGUUGGCCCUGAACUAUGUAGCCCUGGCUGGCCUCAAACUCACUGUGAUCCUCCUGCCUCAGCCUCCCAAGUGCUGGGAUUACAGGUGUGCCCCACGACGCCUGCUCUCUUACUACUCCACUGCAGUGAUGGUGAAACUUUCAGAGACCAGUACCCAAACUGCAACCUAAAACCCACUUACUUAUCACAAAGUGCCAACACUGCAAUGAAACCCAAAUACUGAGGUUUUAGUUUAGAAAAACAACUUGUGAAAUCAGAGAGGGCUCUCCAUGCUGUAGGUUUGCCAUCAAGUUUCUAGUGGCCAUGUGGUCCUGAUUCCAGCAGAAAAAAAAAAAAAAAACUGUAGUGUUUUAGCCAAACAAGAAAAACAGCCAAGGGCCAGGGAUUUGGCACAGUGGUUCUGCCACCUGCCUUGCAAGUGGAAGGGUCAAAAUUCAAUCCCUGGUACCACCAAAAAACAAACAAAUAAACAAACAAAGAUAAACAGCCAAGCAUGGUGGCACACACCUGUAAUCCCAGCACUUGGGAGGCUGAGGCAGGAGGAUUACUCUUAAAUCCAAGGCCAGUCUGGGCUACAGAGCGAGACACUGUGUCAAAAAAACAACAACAGAAAGAAAAAGAACACACAAGAUUGUUUCUAUUUUUCCCAAUACUGGGGAUUGAACCCAGGGCUUCACACUGAGCUGUAUCCCCCACUCUUUUUUAUAUUUUGAGACAGGGUCUCAUUGUGUUGCCCACGUUGGGCUGGAACUUGUGACUUUUCUGGCUCUCAUGAGUAAGUAGCUGAGGUUACACUUUUUUUCUUCUUUUGUAAUUCUGGGGAUUGAAUCCAGGGCAUUCACACCGACCUUCAUCCUCAGCUCUUCUUUAUUUAGAGACAGGGUCUUACUAAGUCACUGAGGUGCCCAGGCUAGGCUUGACCUUGGGAUUCUGCCUGAGUCUCCCAGAGUGCUGGAAUUACAGACAUAUGUCACCAUGUCCAACCUUAUUGCUUUUUUAAGUGUGCUAUCCCUGUCCUUGUAUGUGAGAACACCUCCC